CAGACGGGUGAGUAACACGUGGGAACAUACCCUUCGGUUCGGGAUAACUCAGGGAAACUUGAGCUAAUACCGGAUACGUCCGCGAGGAGAAAGAUUCAUCGCCGGAGGAUUGGCCCGCGUCUGAUUAGCUUGUUGGUGAGGUAAUGGCUCACCAAGGCGACGAUCAGUAGCUGGUCUGAGAGGAUGAUCAGCCACAUUGGGACUGAGACACAGCCCAA
rnacentral:rRNA from 1 species